CAUUUCUUUUUAUUGGGGAGUAGUACUCCGUUGUGAGGAUGUACCAUAUUUUAUUCAUCUGUUCUCUUGCUGGUAUAUAUUUUUUAUCUUUUUAUAGACAUAUCUUUCAUUUCUUUCAGUUAAAUAACAAGGAGUGGAAUUGUUGGAUCAAGAGGGCGGCACAGGCAGCAUUUGUCCUCUCAACAUCAAUCAUGAGGUCCUCAACUUCAUUCUGGAGCCUCUGCUUCGUCUUCUCAAGGGAAGCACAUUUGGCAUUCACAGCUUCUACAUGUUCCUCAGCAUCCUGCAGACGCUGAGCCAGCUUCUUCCUAUGAAAUAUGGGCAAUAAAAGUGAAUGGCUGUCAACUGAAUUGGGUGUUUCAAAGUGGGUACAAGAGAGUGAAUUCCACAAUCAGACUUCUUUAAUACUUUGCUUCUCAAGCUUGUUUUGUAGGUCCAGUUCUAUAUUAACUCAUUCCCAUUAUCCUACCACCAAAUACCAAAAACAACCCCAGUUUUGGUAUUGCCAUACUUCAUAGAGUGGCUUUAAGGCCAUCCAUGACAAGCAUGAGCUAACACUUUACCCUUCCAGGUAGCUGGUUUAUUCCUCUUCUGUAGAAUAUUAAUAUCUACCUUGAAUUACUGGUUUGUUUUUCUGUGUCUCCACAUAAUUUUAAUCCCCAGAGGGAGAGUCUGUACUGUACUAAUCUUUGUAUUCUUGUAGGCUGUCCAACAUAUUAAGGGCUCAAAUGUUGGAUAAAUUGAAUUCAAAUGAAAUAUACUUGAUUUUGUCUGUCUAAUUGUAUCCCUUAUUUGUGCUAGUUUUUAAUUAAUCCAUUAAUAAUAAAGAAGCUUUCCC
rnacentral:lncRNA from 1 species